rnacentral:rRNA from 1 species
GUGGGGAAUAUUGGACAAUGGGCGCAAGCCUGAUCCAGCCAUGCCGCGUGUGUGAAGAAGGCCUUCGGGUUGUAAAGCACUUUUGUCCGGGAAGAAAUCUUCCAGGUUAAUACCCUGGGAGGCUGACGGUACCGGAAGAAUAAGCACCGGCUAACUUCGUGCCAGCAGCCGCGGUAAUACGAAGGGUGCAAGCGUUACUCGGAAUUACUGGGCGUAAAGCGUGCGUAGGUGGUUCGUUAAGUCUGCCGUGAAAGCCCCGGGCUCAACCUGGGAAUGGCGGUGGAUACUGGCGGGCUAGAGUGCGGUAGAGGGUGGUGGAAUUCCCGGUGUAGCAGUGAAAUGUGUAGAGAUCGGGAGGAACAUCUGUGGCGAAGGCGGCCACCUGGACCAGCACUGACACUGAGGCACGAAAGCGUGGGGAGCAAACAGGAUUAGAUACCCCUGUAGUCC